rnacentral:rRNA from 1 species
AUUGAACGCUGGCGGCAUGCUUUACACAUGCAAGUCGAGCGGCAGCGCGGGGGCAACUCUGGCGGCGAGCGGCGAACGGGUGAGGAAUACAUCGGAACGUGUCUCGUAAUGGGGGAUAGCCCGGCGAAAGCCGGAUUAAUACCGCAUAUGCUCUACGGAGGAAAGCCGGGGAUCUGUUAAAGGACCUGGCGUUAUGGGAGCGGCCGAUGUCCGAUUAGCUAGUUGGGGGGUAAAGGCUUACCAAGGCGACGAUCGGUAGCUGGUCUGAGAGGAUGAUCAGCCACACUGGGACUGAGACACGGCCCAGACUCCUACGGGAGGCAGCAGUGGGGAAUUUUGGACAAUGGGGGCAACCCUGACCCAGCCAUGCCGCGUGCGGGAAGAAGGCCU